CGGACGGGUGAGUAACGCGUGAGAACCUGCCCCCAAGAGAGGGAUACCAACUGGAAACGGUUGUUAAUACCUCAUAUGCUGAGGAGUAAAAAGGUGUAAAAACCGCUUGGGGAGGGGCUUGCGUCUGAUUAGCUAGUUGGUAGGGCAAAGGCCUACCAAGGCAAUGAUCAGUAGCUGGUUUGAGAGGACGAUCAGCCACACUGGGACUGAGACACGGCCCAGACUCCUACGGGAGGCAGCAGUGAGGAAUUUUCCGCAAUGGGCGAAAGCCUGACGGAGCAAUGCCGCGUGGAGGACGAAGGCCCGUGGGUUGUAAACUCCUUUUCUUAGAGAAGAAACCCUGACGGUAUCUAAGGAAUAAGCAUCGGCUAACUCCGUGCCAGCAGCCGCGGUAAUACGGAGGAUGCGAGCGUUAUCCGGAAUCAUUGGGCGUAAAGGGUCCUGAGGUGGCCUGCCCAGUCCGCUGUGAAAGAUCAGGGCUCAACCCUGAAUAUGCGGUGGAAACUAGCAGGCUAGAAUACGGUAGGGGCAGGGGGAAUUCCCGGUGUAGCGGUGAAAUGCAUAGAUAUCGGGAAGAACACCAACGGCGAAGGCACCCUGCUGGGCCGAUAUUGACACUGACAGACGAGAGCUAGGGGAGCGAAUGGGAUUAGAUACCCCAGUAGUC
rnacentral:rRNA from 1 species